rnacentral:lncRNA from 1 species
AAUGAGCAUGAAUGGCUAAACUGAUUUUGGUGUUAGAAUUAUUUGUACUGUGUAUUUAGCCUUGAGAGGCUAGGUUGCGAUAAAUUGCCAUGUCAUGUAGAAAAAGAUUUUAUAAAUCAGGUGGUAGAUAAAAGAUUAGCUACUGCAGUGGUGGGGGGUUCUGUGGGCCAGCCUAUUAGAAGGGCACGGUAAACUCCUUUAUAUUCUCACCUCGAUCGUAGAGGCGCGUAGGGUAUCUCCUGAGGUGGGCUUUUUG